rnacentral:rRNA from 1 species
AGCAGCCGCGGUAAUUCCAGCUCCAAUAGCGUAUAUUAAAGUUGUUGCAGUUAAAAAGCUCGUAGUUGAAUUUCGGGAUCAGAGUGUCGGUCGUGCCUCGGUACGCACUGGUAUUAUUGGUUCCUACCUUCUGAAGAACUGCGAUGUCAUUAAUUUGGUGUCGUGGGGAAUCAGGACUGUUACUUUGAAAAAAUUAGAGUGUUUAAAGCAGGCUUACGCUUGAAUACAUUAGCAUGGAGUAAUGAAAUAGGACGUUUGAUUCUAUUUUGUUGGUUUCUAGGAUUGACGUAAUGAUUAAUAGGGAUAGUUGGGGGCAUUAGUAUUCAAUUGUCAGAGGUGAAAUUCUUGGAUUUAUUGAAGACUAACUACUGCGAAAGCAUUUGCCAAGGAUGUUUUCAUUAAUCAAGAACGAAAGUUAGGGGAUCGAAGACGAUCAGAUACCGUCGUAGUCUUAACCAUAAACUAUGCCGACUAGGGAUCGGAUGAUGUUAAUUUUUUAAUGACUCAUUCGGCGCCUUAA